rnacentral:tRNA from 1 species
AAAGAAUUAGUUAAAUUAACAUUAGUAUGUCAAGCUAAAAUUAUUAGUAAACUCUAAUAUUCUUUA